CUUCCCCUUAGUGUGUCUUAUCCGCUUCCUUUCCAGAGCGGCGGCGAAGGACAAGAAGGUGAAGGGCGGCGUGGCGCUCUCCGACUUAUUCCUCCACACCACCUACGCGUCGUCGUCCGUCUGCGCGGUCGCCGGCGGCUACCGCGCCCUGCGCGAGCGCUCGAACUGCUGGUGGAGGGAGAGCAUUCGUGGAGGAGGCAUGGUGAGUAUGCCGUGCACCAGCGCCGUCGUCGUCCGCAGCACGGUCGCGGAUGAAGCUCUGGAUGGUGCGCGCCGCCAUGACCAUGUUGCUCUGGACCUGCGUCAUGCAGCUCACCGCCGUCGGUGAGACGUGGGGCCCCCAGGUUCUCAAGGGAUGGACCUCCCGCCUCACGGCCCCCGAGGAGGCUGCCGCCGUGCGCCCGGCCGUCAUCGAGAGGGCCGCGUUGCCAUCGUGCAAAACAUAGAUUUCAUCAACCUGGGAAUGGGAUGAUACAGAUUGGUGGUUGGCGUCGAUUUUGCUCGCUUCAUUGUGUAACAUCGAGUCUCCACUGCCAGUCCUCUACGAUCUAACCAAUCAGGCCUCCAUCGACGUAAGCUUCUUAAUCUCCGAUAUCCUGCUCCGUGUCUGAUUUGGAUUGAAUUCGUGACCGUGUCCUACUGUCCUUCUCCAACACAAAUCAAUGGAUUGCCUGACCCGGAUUGGACUUCCCUCCUAUAAGAAGGAAGGGUCCUCGACCGGAAUCUCCAUCAGGUUGCGUACUUGGACCGGAAAAUCCAUCAAAUCUCGGAAUACUUGGACGAGAAAAGCAUCAUGUCGCCUUUGACUUCGCCGGAGGUAGAAGAACAUCCGUCGAGCCGUCUAAUAUCGCGGCUACAGCAAAGGUUCAAGGUGAUCAGGUACGGCUCAUGGGCUGCUACAACUAUUAGUGGGACAAAAGGGUUGUGCAUGCACAUGCUUAUUGAUUGAAGGCAUAAUUAUGGGAGAUGGUGCAUGGUCCAGAUGAAUAGAUGGAACCCGUCGAGAGAAAAGAAAAAGAAGAAUAAGAAGAAAAUUGUUCUUCGUAAACAAGUACUCCCUCCAUCCCACUUAUGUUGGGACGGAAUACAUAUUACAUCAUAUGUAACUGGAGAAUGGCGGCAUGUCACGAUCAGGCAAGAACUCUGAUGCCGGUGUGCACUUGCUGAAUAUAGAUGAUUGUGAUGGCCUUAUUCCUUGGAUGUGUAGGGAGCUUCAACCUGAUUAGUGCUGAUUUGGGGAGUAAAGCUCUUCGAGCAAGUGACAAAUCAUGUCUUUCGAGCAUCUCAAAGAUGGCGACCUAGAGUCGUUUGACUGGCAGCUUAAAAGCAAUUAAAGUGAACAGAGGAAUCAAACUUUAAAGCCACUCUUGCCAUUUGUGGACUGUUCCUGCUUGUUGGUGACUGCUUUUGCGAGUAUGUUCACUCUCAUCUAGCGAUGAAAUAUUUUGUUUCUAUUGCGCAGCUGCUGAAAGGGCAAACCCCGGAUCCUAGAUAUCUAUGGGUUUUGGGUGCCCUCUGUGGUUACCUGAAUGUUCCUAUUUCUGUUUUCUUCUUCCCUUUUUAGUUUUCUUCAUGCUGUAGAUGAACUUUUGGUUUCUGUUAAUAGAAUUCAGAGAGGAGGUUCUCUUUUAGAAAAUCUAAUGAGGGGGAGACUGAAUGACCGAGUGUAGAUGACACUGACCAAGUUUAUUAGUAUGUGAUCCUACAUGUCGCUCCAUUAAUUAGAUAAUUCCUGUAUGCUUAACUGUUUCCUCGCUCAGUCCAAUAACGAUGACAGAUCCGAGGGUAUCCUUUGUAGCCGAAGGAAAAGAGGUAUGCAAGGGUGUAUUCCAUAUAUUGGUCUAUCUUUGUGUCAUUAUAACAUAUAUAUUCCCUCAGUGCUUAAAAUGUUCUCAUGGCCAGUAUGUUUACGACGAAGAUGGAUACUCUCACUGUAUUACAUAAUUGAUAUUCAGCAAGUGCUAUCCGGUGCUUAUCACACACGUACAUGAGUAGUCAAGUGUACCUUUACGUAGUAGCAAGUAUUUUUGGUAAUCACUAGGAAACAUACCCGUGCGUUGCUACGGGGUGCAUUUUUCUUGACUUUAAAGCACAUUCUUCAAGAGUUCAGUUACUAAUUCAAAUGAUUUUGAAGUAAAAGAACACAUGAUGUCUUUCAUCUGACUUCAAUAUGACGUUUUCUCACAAGUAAAUGAAGCAUCAUACUGAUAAUAAAAAAAUCAUACACACGACAAUUAUGUUGAGUUACUGAUAUCAUAUAGUAAAAAUGGCGUAUACUUCGCUUAACGUCCAAGCAUGUUGUGUAUGUGCAUGCUAAUCGUGAAGUCCUCAUUCAUGUACUAUUCUGUUCUGUGGUUCAUAUGCAGAUUCUCCAUCACACUUGAAUUUUUGUUUAGUGUGUUGCGUCUCAAUUCACGGUUAGCUGUAAUUUGUUCUAUUCUAGCUUUCUUUUUUUUAUUCUGGUUGCAUAUUUGUCUAUUUCUGCCUUUCCCGUGUGCAUCCUUUUAUCUUCUGUGUUGGCUUCAUGUUUGAAUAUUUCUUCGUCCCUUGUGUGUAUUUUUUGCAACUAGGGCCAAUAUUUAAUUCUUUUUUGAAAUGAUAGGCUUUACGACGGUUUUUCAGUUUUUCCUAUUUAUCUUCACUGGUCAUCUGUGCAUACUGCUCUCUAUCUCUUUUCCUUUUUUGUUUCUUAGCAUCCAUGACUCGAGAUUGCCAUCAAAAUUGCUUGCCUGCAUGUAUACUGUAUGAAUCUGGUGUUAAUUAAAAGCUAAUAUAAAUUUUGCAUCAUAAAUAGAGCAUAUGUAGCGACUUAUAAAUAAAUUUAAUUACGCUAGACAUAAGUAUAAUAAUAUAUGUGUUGUUUGCGUGCUAGAGUAUCAUGUUUUUUGAAGUAAUUUACAAAGUGGAAAAAUGAUAUUAAAGUAAGAGCAUUGCUAUAUACACCAUGUUUUUUGUCCGACAAAUUUCAGUACGAUGUUGUAGAUCAGUCUGUUAAUGCCUAGUGACAAAGCAUAUACCACACCAGCAGAUUAAGUAUUGUAUUGACAUUAGACAGUAAAAAUAUCAUAUAUAUACAACACUUCCAAAAUAAUUUUAUCUGGAUGCAAUUGUUCUUUUUUCUCCAUAGCAUCAAUUUUGUGUCAAAAGGAUGUUUAAGGUGGUUGCCAUGUUCCUCCAUACCACACCUUCAACGUAACCAUCUUCAGGGACAUCAAACAUUGCAUCUUCUUUCUGAUUCGGAACAACAGCUUUAGCUUUAUUGAGAACAACUAAACACUCUGUGGCCAUAACAUGUAAAUGCCUAUGUUUUGACAUUGAUGAUUUAUUAUGCACUCGUAUAAAUCGAGAUCAGCCGUGGCCAUAACACGUAAAUGCCUAUGUUUUGACAUCGAGAUCAGCAGCUCCCGAAGAUAAUUUAUGUGUUUAUUUCAUUGGACGUCUAGACAUAUAUGUUUGUGCCGUAUGUGUCGUGACCUGUGUAGUUAGUAUGAGUACAUAAAAAAGUAUGAGUACAUAAAAAACACAAACAUAUGCAAAUCCAACUUAAAAAAGAAUGUCGUACCAAACCCGGCAAUUAUGUAAAAAUGCAUGCACGAUGAUUUGAUUUAGUUGAAAGUUUACACGAGGUUACCUAGUUAUAUAGGAGUAUUACCAAAUCUAGCUAAAUCUAAUCCUAUCCUACGGGAAUUGCUUGUUUUCAAGCGGCCGUACACUUUUUUUGCGCGAAAAGCGGCCAUAGGCUUGUCCCACCAGUCGUCUCGCGCGGGUGAUGCGUGUCGUCUGGCGCACGCACCACUGUCCCUCGUCGACCUUAUCUUCAUAGCCGUCCCUUCUUGUCCCCGUCAUCCCCAAUUUCCUUCCUCCCUUCUCUCCCCUUAUCUCUGGAACCCCACUGAUGCGCAAGCAAGAGCCACCGCCAAGGCUUGUGCAAGCUCGCGCCAUAUCCAGCAACAACCAUGCUCUCUCUGCAAGCACAAAUCCAGCCAUGGUGUGUUUGACGGAAAUUAGCUGACGGCGGCGAGAAGUUGCAGCAGCGGCGAGCGUUCUCGCGCGACUCUCUCGUAUGGGGGGUAGCAACAAUGGGGCGGCUGCAAAAGCAAGGCUGGUCGCCGGCGGGAGCGCCAGCCACGCGGGGUUGCUCGCCAGAAGCAUCCGAUGCAAGGCCGCUCACCGGAAGCAUCUGAUGCUAUUGACGGCGACCGGCGGGCGGGGUGACGGCGGAUGCUGGUGUUGCGAGGAUGACGAAUACCCUAGCCAGGUCGUUUGCAUCCGCUUUUCAUCUCAAAGAUGUAUCUCAUGUUGAUCCAUGUACGCUCGAGGCUUCUUACGAAUUUUAAUUCAAUGACCUAUAUAAAUUGGUAUGA